CGAAAUUACUGAAAAGUACCUUCGCCCGCGAAAUUCGUAAAAAUAUGUCUUCAAAGUCACGAUAUCAUGGAGUGUAUUUUAAAUCAAAGUCAUCCAAGACCCUUCAUCAGAUUUUAAAGGAAAGGCAGGAGAAACACAAAGAAACCCAAAGGUUGAGAGGGAAAGAUUUGCAACAAUUGAUCCUGAAUCUUCUAGAUAACCAUCAGGAUUUUGAUCAACUUCUUCAAGAGAUUCAGGCGCAGAGUUCAGAUGGGAGUUCCAAUAGCAGCAACAACAGAUGUAGUAGCAGUAGCAACAAUGACAAC